rnacentral:rRNA from 1 species
AUUGAACGCUGGCGGCAGGCCUAACACAUGCAAGUCGAACGAGUGGCGGACGGGUGAGUAAUGUCUGGGAAACUGCCCGAUGGAGGGGGAUUACUACUGGAAACGGUAGCCAAUAUCGCAUUCCUCUGGAUGGGCCCAGUGGGGAUUAGCUUGUAGGUGAGGUAACGGCUCACCUUGGCGACGAUCCCUAGCGGGUCUGAGCGGAUGACCAUCCACACUGGAACUGAGACACGGUCCAGACUCCUACGGGAGGCAGCAGUGGGGAAUAUUGCACAAUGGGCGCAAGCCGGAUGCAGCCAUGCCGCGUGUAUGAAGAAGGCCUUCGGGUUGUAAAGUACUUUCAGCGGGGAGGCGUUACCCGCAGAAGAAGCACCGGCUAACUCCGUGCCAGCAGCCGCGGUAAUUC